rnacentral:rRNA from 1 species
CCUACGGGAGGCAGCAGUGAGGAAUAUUGGUCAAUGGACGAGAGUCUGAACCAGCCAAGUAGCGUGAAGGAUGACUGUCCUAUGGGUUGUAAACUUCUUUUAUAUGGGAAUAAAAUGUUCCACGUGUGGGAUUUUGUAUGUACCAUAUGAAUAAGGAUCGGCUAACUCCGUGCCAGCAGCCGCGGUAAUACGGAGGAUCCGAGCGUUAUCCGGAUUUAUUGGGUUUAAAGGGAGCGUAGGUGGAUUGUUAAGUCAGUUGUGAAAGUGUGCGGCUCAACCGUAAAAUUGCAGUUGAAACUGGCAGUCUUGAGUACAGUAGAGGUGGGCGGAAUUCGUGGUGUAGCGGUGAAAUGCUUAGAUAUCACGAAGAACUCCGAUUGCGAAGGCAGCUCACUGGACUGCAACUGACACUGAGGCUCGAAAGUGUGGGUAUCGAACAGGAUUAGAUACCCGAGUAGUC